rnacentral:tRNA from 1 species
GAGACCAACCACGAACUGCUAAUUCGUAAAACUGAGAUUGAAUCCUCAGACCUCUC